CAGCCGGCUUCCUGACUCCAGUGCAUACUGGGGCAUAAUGCAGAACCUGGUGAAUAAAUAUCAGUGAGUAAUCCCUUAUUUUACAGCUCUUCUCCUGCACUAUAACCCAGUAUAGUGUUUAGUCUGGGUGAACUGGCUGUUAGAUUCUCUCUAAUUCCUCUUCAGUGGCUCUGUGCGUCCAUUACAAGUGUUCUCCGCUUCCUGGACAACGUAAAGCUCUUUACCAAAUAAUCAAUGAGCAGAACUCAAGCUGUGUCCAGAUAAUGAAGAUACAAUGCUUUGUGAUGGUAUUGCUCACCCAUAAUCUGUGUACAUUAUUAUGGGGACAACCAUCUUGUAACCAGCCGGAACUGUAACCAUAUGCUUUAUUCCAAACCCCACGGACAUAGACACAAAACACUGGAGGGGACUUUAUAUACACACGAAUAGGAGCAUUUCUGCCAUCUCCCAUGAUGUACUUGCCAGAACAAUAAAGAAGUACCCACAAUUAGCAAGAAGUUUGGGUACACAUCACAGUGGUGUCUAGUGGUGCACCUCCGCACCUGAGAGCUUUGGCUCUCGCUCCUCGCACCUCCAGCUAUUGACUUGCCGUCUGCUGUAUGGACACUUGGAAUAAAGCAUCGUUU